UCCUUCCCAGAGCUGCAUGCUUGGGUGGAAAAGACAACCUUCCCCAAAUAAAUGAGGGCCAGUCUUUGGUCAAUGAUAUGUGAGUAGUUGUGUUUCUGCUGCUAGAAGAUAUAAACAAACUAUCAAAGCAAAUUUAUUUAUUUUUUAAUGUGAGGUUCAAAU
ensembl:misc_RNA 7SK 7SK RNA